rnacentral:rRNA from 1 species
UACGUAGGGUGCGAGCGUUGUCCGGAAUUAUUGGGCGUAAAGAGCUUGUAGGUGGUUUGUCGCGUCUGCUGUGAAAUCCGAGGCUCAACCUCGGACUUGCAGUGGGUACGGGCAGACUAGAGUGUGGUAGGGGAGACUGGAAUUCCUGGUGUAGCGGUGGAAUGCGCAGAUAUCAGGAGGAACACCGAUGGCGAAGGCAGGUCUCUGGGCCAUUACUGACACUGAGAAGCGGAAAGCAUGGGGAGCGAACAGG